rnacentral:rRNA from 1 species
GACAGAGGGUGCAAACGUUGUUCGGAAUUACUGGGCGUAAAGCGCGUGUAGGCGGCCAUCUAAGUCGGGCGUGAAAUCCCACGGCUCAACCGUGGAAGUGCACUCGAAACUGGAUGGCUAGAGUCCUGGAGAGGAAGGUGGAAUGCUUGGUGUAGAGGUGAAAUUCGUAGAUAUCAAGCGGAACACCGGUGGCGGAGGCGGCCUUCUGGACAGUGACUGACGCUGAGACGCGAAAGCGUGGGGAGCAAACAGG